rnacentral:rRNA from 1 species
ACUCUGUGCCAGCAGCCGCGGUAAUACAGAGGGUGCAAGCGUUAAUCGGAAUUACUGGGCGUAAAGCGAGCGUAGGUGGCUUGAUAAGUCAGAUGUGAAAUCCCCGGGCUUAACCUGGGAACUGCAUCUGAUACUGUCAGGCUAGAGUAGGUGAGAGGAAGGUAGAAUUCCAGGUGUAGCGGUGAAAUGCGUAGAGAUCUGGAGGAAUACCGAUGGCGAAGGCAGCCUUCUGGCAUCAUACUGACACUGAGGCUCGAAAGCGUGGGUAGCAAACAGGAUUAGAUACCCUGGUAGUCCACGCCGUAAACGAUGUCUACUAGUCGUUGGGUCCCUUGAGGACUUAGUGACGCAGCUAACGCAAUAAGUAGACCGCCUGGGGAGUACGGCCGCAAGGUUAAAACUCAAAUGAAUUGACGGGGGCCCGCACAAGCGGUGGAGCAUGUGGUUUAAUUCGAUGCAACGCGAAGAACCUUACCUGGUCUUGACAUAUCUAGAAUCCUGCAGAGAUGCGGGAGUGCCUUCGGGAAUUAGAAUACAGGUGCUGCAUGGCUGUCGUCAGCUCGUGUCGUGAGAUGUUGGGUUAAGUCCCGCAACGAGCGCAACCCUUGUCCUUAGUUACCAGCGGGUUAAGCCGGGAACUCUAAGGAUACUGCCAGUGACAAACUGGAGGAAGGCGGGGACGACGUCAAGUCAUCAUGGCCCUUACGACCAGGGCUACACACGUGCUACAAUGGUAGGUACAGAGGGCAGCUACACAGCGAUGUGAUGCGAAUCUCAAAAAGCCUAUCGUAGUCCAGAUUGGAGUCUGCAACUCGACUCCAUGAAGUAGGAAUCGCUAGUAAUCGCGGAUCAGAAUGCC